AGUGAACGCUGGCGGUAGGCCUAACACAUGCAAGUCGAACGGCAGCACAGUAAUAGCUUGCUCUUACGGGUGGCGAGUGGCGGACGGGUGAGGAAUACAUCGUAAUCUACUUUUUCGUGGGGGAUAACGUAGGGAAACUUACUCUAAUACCGCAUACGACCUACGGGUGAAAGCAGGGGAUCUUCGGACCUUGCGCGAUUGAAUGAGCCGAUGUCGGAUUAGCUAGUUGGCGGGUGAAUGGCCCACCAAGGGGCCGAUCCGUAGCUCGUCUGAGAGGAUGAUAAGCCACACUGGAACUGAGCCACGGUCAAGACUCCUACGGGAGGCAGCAGUGGGGAAUAUUGGACAAUGGGCGCAAGCCUGAUCCAGCCAUACCGAGUGGGUGAAGAAGGCCUUCGGGUUGUAAAGCCCUUUUGUUGGGAAAGAAAAGCAGCAGGUUAAUACCACGCUGUUCUGACGGUACCCAAAGAAUAAGCACCGGCUAACUUCGUG
rnacentral:rRNA from 1 species